rnacentral:misc_RNA from 1 species
CCGCAGAUUGCGCUUGAGGUCUGUGAGGUUGGACUUGCAGCUAAGACCUAGCCCCUCCAUCCAAUCACGCUUGAGUUGAAUGCACAGGUACACAUACAGAUGCACAUACAUACGUCUAUCCACCUAGACUCUGAUUCAGUUGCGUGGCAUUGCCAACUAUCAUCAUUACCAUAAUGAGCCGAUACAAGGAGCUCCAACCCGCCAUCGACGGCGUCUUUCACCGGCGUGGCGAGGAGGUGGUGGCCCACGAGAUGGUGUCAGAGAUCAGCAGCAAGAAAAAGGCAUCGACGCCGCGACUGCUCAUCCUAUCGCACUUCCUCGGCAGAAGCGGUGGCGCCACGCUCAGCAUCGUCACGGUCGACCCAAGCGGACAGCGAGUGAAGAUCAAGUCUGCCUUCGCCGUGGAUCGGCUGGUCAGCAUCUCGAACGAGGGCAGCUUCGAUGCAACCUUCAACUUUGGCGCCAGCGGCGUGCUGUCCGUCAGCUUCGAGUCGCACAUCCAACGGGAGAUGUUUGUCGCUGCCGCCCGCCGCAUCCGCGCGACGCCGUCGUCAUCCUCUGGGGCCCGUGAGAGCUACGUUGACAACCGACUGAGCACCAUUCGCGGUGUGCUCACAGAGGCGGUGGGUGCUCAGGUAGAAGCUGACGCUGCGGCGCGCGUGCGGAAGCUGCGGCAGGACAAGCGGCGCAUCUUCUCCACGGAGGAGGAGAAGCACCUGCUGCGCCACAUUGGCAAUAACGGAGCCGGGUUCGACGACAUCAAGCAGUUCCAGGAGAUUCUCCUUCGCCAGCAGAAGAGCUCCGAGCUCAGAUCGCUCAACCUGCUGACCACCUCCGAGGCUGUGUGGCAGGAGGCGCAGCAGCAGGUGCAGGACCUCGUCCAGGACGUGGAGGAGGUGGGGCAGCGCAUUGAGGAGUACUCGACUCACCUUCUCUCCAAGAAGAGCGUCCUUCAGCAGGUGGAACACGACAACAACACACUGCAGCGACGACAGCAAAACCUGGAGGCCCUGUACAUUAUGAUGUCCGACCUGCGCGACCAACUACGACUCGCGCCGGCGACGAUGGCGCUGCUGAGUCGACUGCGCACCGUACCAGAGGAUGGCCUCGUGGCCUUCUUCUCCGAAGGCAGCAACGCGGUGACGCUUUCGGUGGCGAUGAAGCACAUGCAGGGUGUGCUGCACAACCCGAAGCUGGACAGUGACUUUCCCAUCACCGCUGUUGCAGAGCGGAAGGCUUUUUUCCUGGAGCAGCGCAAGAUGAUCACGCAGCGCUCCAAGUCGUAUAUUAUGGCCAUCAUCGGGUCCUUCGAGGCAACGUACCUCGCAGACAAGUCGAGAUACAGUCGCGACGCAUCGCUUGUGUGGCGGCUGCACGUCGAGCUGGCACACAAACUGUUGAACAUCAGCGAUGUUAUCCGUGCACUGGACCGCAUCGACGUGGAAGGCUUCAAUAACGCACUGCGCAAGUAUCGGACGAGCAUGCAGAGGGUCUACGCACUCGAGAUCACGCACUUCUUCAAGUGUCUUAAGAAGCAGGUGAAGAAGGUGAACACCUGGCGCGGCCCUUUUCUGCUUGGCACCUCCGAGUCGCGCAAGGAGGCUAUGUCGAUGCGGAUGGAGACGGCCCAGUCUGGUGAGACGCCGCGCAUGUAUUCCCGCGGCAGCCAGUCAACGCCGGCGCUCACCCCUCGCAUGAUGCGCUUUGGCGACGACUCCGACUACGGGGCCGGCGCCGGUGGCCGGGCAGCCUCUGGCCUUGGCGGCAGCGAAGACCGCACGCACCUUUCCCUGCAGUUUCCGUCCGUGGCAGACCUGAGCAUGGAGGGCAGCGUGCCUGCCUCCGCAAUCGAGCUGUACCAGAGCGCGAACACACUGCGCCGGCUGGACGCACGGGCGGAAACGUCGUCGGUUAUGAGCGGGAUGAAGUCCCUCAACCCCGCCAGCACCAGCGGUGGCGGGUACGUGCGACCUGAUCUCGCCUUCGCCAUUGCGCUAGAAUCAUCUGUGCUCGCGGUGAUUCACGAAGAGGUGAUCCUUAGCCGCUGCUUCAACCUCUUCAGCGACCCGGCAGAGAAGAGCGGCAACGACGAAGACGCUGCAGCCCCUGCAAAUGCCGGCGCCAACCCGCAGGCAGACGACUCUAAGAGGACAGGCGCUGCCACUCCCAGAGGAGCUGCCGGGGCGGACCGCGCGCAGAUGAAGCAGGAGUCCUUGCUCGAGCUCUUUGGCGGCGCCGACGCGGACCACCUCGUGCGCACUCUGCAAGGGACAUCACGUAGCGCCAGCGUGCAGAACUCUCGCUCGAGCAGCCAGGACAUCGGCCUGCCACCUCGCCCUCCUCCGGCAGGGUACGGCGGCGACCGCCGGGGCCAUGGCGGGUCUUCCUUCCCGCACCGUCGGACGUGGAGCGGGGCGUCGUUGUCGGGGUACGGCCGCGAGAGCAACUCCAGCGACGGCGACGACGUGGACGGCGGUGGCCCCGUAGACGAGUGCAGCCGCGCCUCUCGCAUCGCGCUGCACCGCAACUUCCUCAUUCGCACGAUGCGUGACCUGGCGCUUUUCUUUGUCGAGAAGUGCGACCGCAUCUACUGUGUUCCCAUCCUGUGCAUGAUACGCGCCUACCGCUCCACCGCGGCCGACAAGGCCAUGCUGCCAUCGAAGAGUGCCUUCUGCCAGGCAAUGCUGGCAGAGGUGGAGACGGUGAUGGUGGGCGGCAUGAUGCGGUUUGUGGCGGAGCAGACCGACUCUAUUCACCGGUGCCGCAAACGGUACGUGGUGCGUCCCACGGCGCUGCUGCAUUGCUUCUCUAAGAUGCCGGCCCUCUUCAUGCGGUUUGAGGCGGUGCACAACGCCCUCGCGCGCAACGUGUGCGACCGCACCGAGUACGCCUCCAUCGCGCUGAGUCUCGUCGAUCAGUCCUUCGAUGCCUUGGACCAGAUUACAAGCGUGAAGGCCACCGGCGAGAACCAGAAUGCGGAGCAGCUGAAGCUGAACAAACUCAUUGCACAGAAGGUGCACUCCGUUCUGGAUGGCGUGGAGGCGGACGCCCACUCGCUCAAGUGGGUCUUUAUUCAGCAGUAUCGGCACCAGUCGUUCUUCUGCGCCUUCUACUCGACCAUGCCAAGCGACAGCUUUGCCGUGGAGCUGCUGCAAGACCACUACACAUCGGCGAAAGAGAAGCGGGACCGCUACGAGGAGCUGUACCUGACGCGUGUGCUCCUCGUGCGCAGCUUCCCGGUUUUCGGGGCCUUCGCGCUCUCCGCCGAGGACCUCUCGAUGAUCUACUCAAAGGAGGAGCUGCGACAUCACAAAGCCCUCUCCGCGGAUGCUGUCAAGAAGGUCGUUGGCGGACUCGAGAAGGAGAUGCGCUCCGGUGUGCGGGCAAGCGCGGCGCGGAUGAAGAAGCACUUUUUGUGCGAUGUAGACCUCAACGGCAACGAGGCCUCUUUCCACACCACGCUGCUGCAGCGGACCUGGCAGCACUUCUCGACACUGCUGUUGCACAAGUUCGACUUUCUGGCAGAGAUGCUCACAUGGCCGGCGUAUCACGGCAUUUCCAUGCCCGUGGCCCGCUCCGACGUUGUGGAGAUGCUCGCGGCGUACUAGAGAGUGGGAGUGGUCCAGCAGCAGCAGCCCAUGAUGGUGUCGGCACGUAAGGCAGCAUCACCGCCGCUAACGUUGCGGAGUAGAUAGGAGAAGCACUGCAGCGUAAGCGAGAGAUGGCGCAGCACUUGCACUUCUCCUUCCCCGUAAACACCUGUCACACUCGUCAUGCUCUGCAUGUCCCCGAGCGGCUCUACUGUUUGGUUUCGCUCUUUUUUCGCCAUCCGGUUCUGCUCAUGGUGCUCUCCCCCUUCGACUCCGCUUCGUCUGCCUGCACGCGUGCAGACGUAUGCAGGCUCAUGCGUGUGUGUGCUUGCUUGCUUUUUCGGCCUGCUCUGUCUCCGUCUGCAUGUCGCCAGGCUUCUCCCAUCACUCCCUCUUGUGUCGUGCGUGUAUGUGGGCGUGGGAGAGAGAUAGAGAUGGGUGCAUGGGGGCGGCAUUUAUGCGAGCUUUCGACCCUCCGAUGAAGGCCACACGCCAGAAUGCACACACCUGUCCACCCACCCACAUGCAUAGAGAGAGGCCCAUCUCUACGUUGCACUUGCUCGUCCUUCGCUGCUCUUGCCAGCAGUUGCGUGCACAGCUGCGGGAAGAGUUGGGAAGCGAACCACUCACAAAACGGGGCAUCGAACGAAGAAGACCCAGGUGAGUACAGGACGGCUUCGCUUGCCAUGAUAGAGCCCGUGCGUGUCUCCGCGAACGCCGACGACUGCCGUUUCGUGGGCCCGCCGUCGCCUUCACUCUUCUUUCUCUUUUCGUCUGUUGCGUUUUCGAUCAAG